rnacentral:rRNA from 1 species
UACGUAGGGUGCAAGCGUUGUCCGGAAUUAUUGGGCGUAAAGAGCUCGUAGGCGGUCUGUCGCGUCGGCUGUGAAAACUCGGGGCUCAACCCCGAGCCUGCAGUCGAUACGGGCAGACUAGAGGUGCUGUAGGGGAGACUGGAAGUUCCCGGUGUAGCCGGUGAAAUGCGUAGAUAUCGGGAGGAACACCUGUGGCGAAAGCGGCUC